rnacentral:rRNA from 1 species
GAAAAGAACUUUGAAAAGAGAGUUAAACAGUACGUGAAAUUGUUGAAAGGGAAACGAUUAAAGCCAGUCGUACCGGCGGGUAAUCAGCCUACAGGCUACUGUGGGUGCACUUUGGGUGUACUUGCUCGUGUGGUAGGUUAACAUCAAUUUCGGUCGUCAUAAAAUGAUUGGGGGAAUGUAGCUUCGAUCUCGUAUUGAAGUGUUAUAGACUCUGGUAGAUGUGAUGAUCGAGAUUGAGGAUUGCAACGGAUACCCUUCGGGGCUACUCGUCUGAUCUCUGAGAGUUACUCUGGUGCCGAAAGCGUGCUUACGGUAUCAAAGUUGACGUUCAAUAGGUUAGAACGGGUUAAAUUCGUUAAGGAUGUUGACGUAAUGGCUUUAAACGACCCGUCUUGAAACA